GAUCUUAUGGUGUAAUGGUUAACACUCUGGACUCUGAAUCCAGCGAUACGGGCUCAAAUCCCGGUAGGACCU
rnacentral:tRNA from 1 species